rnacentral:lncRNA from 1 species
UCCGACUCUGGAAAGUUUCUAUUCUUAUGUAAUACUUCUUUAUAUAAUGCAGAUGAGGUUGAUUUUGUGCUUUAGUUGAAGGGUAAAUUGUAUUUAUCUUGCUAUCUAUUGACACUGUUGUAGGGUUCCCCUGGUGAGCGAGGUCCUGCUGGUCCAGCCGGACCUACAGGCCUCCCUGGACGUUCUGGACCACAGGGACCUCCGGGACCUGCUGGAGAGAAAGGCGGACCGGGAGAGAAAGGACCUCAAGGCCCUGCUGGAAGAGAUGGUAUUCAAGGACCUGUGGGUCUGCCAGGACCUGGAGGACCUCCUGGACCCCCUGGAGAAGAUGGAGAUAAGGGAGAGCUCGGAGAACCGGGGCAGAAAGGAAGUAAAGGGGACAAAGGGGAACAUGUGAGUUCUUGAUGGAUUUUUAUUGGUCAAAAUGUUGAUAUUUUGAGCUUUUCUUCCCCCCAUUUCCUUUUGAGCGGCUCAUUGCUGUGUGUUUUCUGCAGGGUCCGCCUGGUCCCACCGGCCCACAAGGACCUGUUGGAGCACCGGGUCCUGCUGUAAGUGUCUUUUUUUUGGCACUCCCAUCCUCUGUCCUCUCCUGUCUUGGAUUUAACUUGAUGCUGCUUUGUGCAGGGGGCCGACGGUGAGCCGG